rnacentral:rRNA from 1 species
UACGUAGGGUGCGAGCGUUGUCCGGAAUUAUUGGGCGUAAAGAGCUUGUAGGUGGUUUGUCGCGUCUGCUGUGAAAAUCCGAGGCUCAACCUCGGACUUGCAGUGGGUACGGGCAGACUAGAGUGUGGUAGGGGAGACUGGAAUUCCUGGUGUAGCGGUGGAAUGCGCAGAUAUCAGGAGGAACACCGAUGGCGAAGGCAGGUCUCUGGGCCAUUACUGACACUGAGGAGCGAAAAGCGUGGGGAGCGAACAGG